rnacentral:rRNA from 1 species
GUCCACACCGUAAACGAUGUUCACUAGUUGGUGGGUAGUUUACUAUUCGCUGACGCAGCUAACGCAUUAAGUGAACCGCCUGGGGAGUACGGUCGCAAGAUUAAAACUCAAAGGAAUUGACGGGGACCCGCACAAGCGGUGGAGCAUGUGGUUUAAUUCGAAGCAACGCGAAGAACCUUACCAGCCCUUGACAUCCCGGUCGCGGGGCCCAGAGAUGGGCUCCUUCAGUUCGGCUGGACCGGUGACAGGUGCUGCAUGGCUGUCGU